CCACUUUGUAGAGUAAUUUGGGGUUUGUCGAUACAUACAAAUUGAGAUCUUACCUUGAGUAUUGGUAUUGAUCUAUUUGAUAAUCACGGAAUUGUGGCCGUGAUGUCCGGUUUGAGACAUUGAUCAAUGGAUUGCUAGUGUCCAUAUUUACGCCAAUAGCUAACAAGUGGCGAUUAUAAGUCAUAGGAUUGUAGCCGUUUUGGAUCGUGUCUUAUUUGAGACAUUGAUCAAUUGAUUGCUAGUGUCCGUAUUGACAUCCAUAGCUAACAGGAUCGCGCCAAGGUUGUGGCGUUGAUAGUUCCUGGGAUUGUAGCCGUGUGGAUCCUGUCCAGUUAGAAUUGAAUCAUGGACUAGUUGAACCUGGACUGAUACAGUUCAAUGUGAAGAAACUUUUAAGAGUUUGUGCUAUGUACACCUGUAAACAGAAACCAGCUUCAACUCCUAGCUGCAGCAUGUAUUCUCCUUAGUUCCAAAGUAUGUUCGCAAAGCAGGGGCUGUGUUGUCGGAUGUAAACAGUUAAUAGACUAUUCAGAUAACUGUAUAACUAACAACCAACUCCUGGAUAUGGAACUACUAGUAGUAUCCUCCCUGUGUUGGGAUCUAUACCUAGAGCCUGCUGCAGAAGAUGCCUGCAACCUUAUCACUGAUCUUCAGGUAUCUAGUUGACUAGUUUAUCAGUUGAUCAGUUGAUCAGUUGAUCAGUUGACCAGUUGACCACUGCCUUCCGAUUUACGGCCUGAUAACCUCAUCAAGUGACCAUCAAACUUUAUAAUUUAGACCAAAAUGUUGUCACCAAAAAGAAAAGAUUGCAUUUAAUAAUUAAAAUUCACUAACAUUCCUAAAAUAUAAAAAUUCCGCCUCAAAUUAUUUUACGUUAAUUUAGUGAUUUUAGCCAAAUUUUCAUGUUUUAGGAACAAUUUUGAAACAAGUGUUUGUAUAUAUGAAAAUGAAGACGACAUAUUUUCGUCUAAAUUGUCCAUGUAUCCUCUAAUAUUGUUGUGAUUUCCUUGAUUAAUCAUUAAAUUUACACGAGAAUAGAGUACAAACAUGGAAGAAUGUUAUCUUAAGAUAAAUGUUUACUUAUGUAAAAAUAACAUUUUCCCAGUUUUGUAAAGGACUAUUCUCACAUCUUUACCAAAUUGUAUAUUUUUUAGCAUUUAUAUUCAUUUAAGAAUAAAUUUACAAUUUAUACUAUGUAGUUGAAUUUGUAAUAAAAUAUGUUUGAUCGUUGUAAUACUUUAGUGUGCAGUAAAACCCGAAAUUUCGGAGACAUCGAAAGAAUUAUAAAAUGUCGUCUUGACAAUCUUCAAUGGGUUUUAUACAGAGCGUCCCAUAUCAUAUUAGAUUAUCUCCAAGCUUUAACGCCAAAACAACACAUAAAACUAGAAAAGCUUAGAAUGUCCAGCAAGAAUAUUUUUAUAUUAGCCUAAUUAAAUUUUUCAAAAUGAUUUAAUCUUCUUAAAUUUUCUGAUUAGUCCUGAA
rnacentral:lncRNA from 1 species